AACUAGCUAGGAAGAUAAUGCAUAAAGUGCAGCUCAGACGUCUUUGGUCAACUAACCGGUCCGUCUGAAUUCAGGGAUUUUAAUAAAUUAAUUCUAUCACAGUCAUAAUAUACAUUUGUAAUUUUUUUUUACGUUAGUAUUAAUCUUAGAGGUUCCUUAAAAUUUUUUUUUUCAAAUUUUAGGUUUUACUUAUGCAUUUUAUCGUACUAAGAAUGAUUCAGAGGAUAGUUCUUAUUGUGUGACCAAAGAAAGGAAACUAUGAGCUGAGAAGGAAACAUGAAAUGAAUAAAAAUAUAUAAAAUUUAACAGAAUUAUGGGUUCACAAUUCAUCACAAUAAAAGGUAUAAAAUUGUUCUCCUUUUAUGUUGAUAAAUCAAAGAAAUUUCUGUAUUGUGAUCUGUCGCAGAAUAAUCGCCAAGUUGUGGCAAAUUCCGGGCAGCGACCCGCGAAAAACUGAAGACGAAAAAAAAAUCACAUAAAUAGGCCAACUCGUAGUCACCUCUGGGCAAACAAGGAUAACAAUAAUUCUGAUGCCAGGAUGAAUCUUAUUCUCUUCUGAAAUCCCAUUUUCAUAACAUGGGUAAUUCUGAAAUUGUAUGAGACUUAUUAACUUCUGAGAUUCAUGACAUGAAGAUGUCUUAAAGUCUAACUGUUCUCGACUCCAUUUUAAGAGCAUCAGGAACUUGAGUCUCAUUAGAAAGGACUUUUUCCCUAAAGUAAAGGAUUUUUUCUGAAGAUGGACAUCAAACUGUGCCUCAAUCUAGAAUGACAUAAAUUGGGAUGAAAAAGGUCAUAAACAAAUGAUGCAUUAUUUAUGAAUGGAGAUAGCUACAUGUUACAUAUGGAGAUAACUACAUGUACACAUAGCUGUCUUACAUGCCAUAGCCUAUAAGACAGCUUGCAUUUUCACCUAGCAUUUUAACUUUGAAUUUCAAAGAGCAGUUGACACUUGAUUUAUUAACCCCAUAAUCCAAGGAGGCUCGGAGUUCUUGAGGCAAGGAUAUGGUCAGAGUUGGGUCCAGUGUGGAGGAUACUUGAUCAUCACCGUCCAGUCCCAAGUCCAUAUCGUUCAAGUCCAGAAGGGGACCAAAGUCCAGUGAGGCUGUGGUCGAGCAUCCUGUCUCCCCAAAUCCAGCGGAUGAGGGUGGAGUCAUGUCCAUCACAGAUUGUGCCAGGUUGAUGUCAGGGGAGUUGGGACCGUCCAUUGAGUUGACCGUUGUCGAGAGGUAGGAAGUGGACGCUUUAGAAAAAAAGACAUCACCUGAGGCAAUGGAUGUUUGAUACAGUGGAAUGGAGUCUCCAUUGUUUGAUAGGGGUGUCAAGGCUGAUGUUGGCUCUUCAGCUGCACUGGGAGGUAGAUCUUUGAGAAGAAAAACAAAACAUUGCUAGCAUAACCCUGGUGUGUUUUGGACGAAAUACUGUUUUAAAAAACUAGAAAGUAUAGAGUGUCCAGCAGAAGACCGAAUGAUAUCAAAAUUAAAAAUCUUGGAAAGAAAAGAUAAGUGAAAUGAUACAUAUGGUAAAAUAUUUGUAUGACUCUGCUCCGCUACAGUUUUUGCUGGUUGGCAAAAGAUGCAAUGCAAGAGAGCAUUGUUAAAAGAAUGAAUUCAAGAUAAAGGAACGAGAUUAUCAAAUGAAGUUUUUGAAAGAGAAAGAUUCUUUGGUUGUACUAGCUAGAAAGAGGUUGCUCAUUGAAUUUUAGACGAUGUCUUAUAUCUAAAUUCUAAAAUAAUUUAUUGCUAUGUUUUAUUAUCAAAUUAUGUAUUUUUUUAAAUAAAAUUUAUCUUGAUUCAUUAUUAAACAUCUGGCUUGGAAAUAUUCGUCGACUAACAUAACUAGUAACAGCUCGGGUAUAAUGGCAAUAUUAUAUUGGUAAAAAAGAAAUGCUCUUUUUAAGAAGAUUUAAAUUAAUACAAUAAAUGAUAAGACCACGAAUGAUUCAUAAACUGCUAAAAGAACGUUCUAAGUGUGUACGAUUCACGCACAACCGAUUGCCGUUUGAAGAAAGGAACCUGAUUUAUGAGUUUUUCGCUGGAAAAUAUAUGGAUGGUGUUUCCUACACUAGGGUGCCCUGCAAGCUCUUUACUACCACCUAUAUUUCCGGGUUACUGUUUCUAGUGUAUUUUGAAGCCAUUUGGCUCACAGUGUUUUGAGAUUCUCUUGAGUAGUAUUUCUUAUACGUGUAUUAGUUACCUGGUUUAU